rnacentral:rRNA from 1 species
AGAGCGUGCCUUUUGUAGAAUGAACCGGCGAGUUACGUUAUGAUGCGAGGUUAAGUUGAAGAGACGGAGCCGUAGGGAAACCGAGUCUGAAUAGGGCGACUUAGUAUCAUGAUGUAGACCCGAAACCUAGUGACCUAUCCAUGAGCAGGGUGAAGGUGUGGUAAGACGCACUGGAGGCCCGAACCAGGACACGUUGAAAAGUGUUUGGAUGACUUGUGGAUAGCGGAGAAAUUCCAAACGAACUGGGAGAUAGCUGGUUCUCUCCGAAAUAGCUUUAGGGCUAGCGUCGAAAUGUAAGUGUAUUGGAGGUAGAGCACUGUUUGGGUGAGGGGUCCGUCUAGGAUUACCAAUCUCAGAUAAACUCCGAAUGCUAAUACACAUGUUCGGCAGUCAGACUGCGAGUGCUAAGAUCCGUAGUCGAAAGGGAAACAGCCCAGACCAACAGCUAAGGUCCCAAAAUAUAUGUUAAGUGGAAAAGGAUGUGGGGUUGCACAGACAACUAGGAUGUUAGCUCAGAAGCAGCUAUCAUUCAAAGAGUGCGUAAUAGCUCACUAGUCGAGUGACCCUGCGCCGAAAAUGUACCGGGGCUAAACAUAUUACCGAAGCUUUGGAUUGAUAUUUUAUCAAUGGUAGGAGAGCGUUCUUAACCGCGAUGAAGGUAUACCGUGAGGAGUGCUGGAGCGUUAAGAAGUGAGAAUGCCGGUAUGAGUAGCGCAAGAUAAGUGAGAAUCUUAUCCACCGUAAGACUAAGGUUUCCAGGGGAAGGCUCGUCCGCCCUGGGUUAGUCGGGACCUAAGGCGAGGCCGAAAGGCGUAGUCGAUGGACAACUGGUUGAUAUUCCAGUACUAGAUAUGAUCGUGAUGGAGGGACGCAGUAGGCUAAGAGAAGCCAGUUAAUGGAUUCUGGUCUAAGCAGUGAGGUGUGAGAUGUGUCAAAUGCAUUUCUCUUUAACAUUGAGCUGUGAUGGGGAAGCAACUACGGUUGCGAACUCUCUGAUGUCACACUGCCAAGAAAAGCUUCUAGCGUAAAGUCAUAUCUACCCGUACCGCAAACCGACACAGGUAGUCGAGGCGAGUAGCCUCAGGUGAUCGAGAGAACUCUCGUUAAGGAACUCGGCAAAAUAGCCCCGUAACUUCGGGAGAAGGGGUGCUGGUGUAAAAGCCAGCCGCAGUGAAUAGGCCCAAGCAACUGUUUAUCAAAAACACAGCUCUCUGCUAAACCGCAAGGUGAUGUAUAGGGGGUGACGCCUGCCCGGUGCUGGAAGGUUAAGAGGAGUGCUUAGACGUAAGUCGAAGGUAUGAAUUGAAGCCCCAGUAAACGGCGGCCGUAACUAUAACGGUCCUAAGGUAGCGAAAUUCCUUGUCGGGUAAGUUCCGACCCGCACGAAAGCAACGAGAGACUCGGUGAAAUUUUAGUACCUGUGAAGAUGCAGGUUACCCGCGACAGGACGGAAAGACCCCAUGGAGCUUUACUGUAGUUUGAUAUUGAGUACCUGUAAGUCAUGUACAGGAUAGGUAGGAGCCAUUGAAAUAGGGACGCUAGUUUCUAUUGAGGCGUUGUUGGGAUACUACCCUUGACUUAUGGUUACUCUAACCCGCUGGCAUAAUCGGCCAGGGAGACAGUGUCUGACGGACAGUUUGACUGGGGCGGUCGCCUCCUAAAGAGUAACGGAGGCGCUCAAAGGUUGGCUCAGAUUGGUUGGAAAUCAAUCGUAGAGUGUAAAGGUAAAAGCCAGCUUGACUGCGAGAGCUACAACUCGAGCAGGUAGGAAACUAGGACUUAGUGAUCCGGUGGUACCGCAUGGAAGGGCCAUCGCUCAACGGAUAAAAGCUACCCUGGGGAUAACAGGCUUAUCUCCCCCAAGAGUUCACAUCGACGGGGAGGUUUGGCACCUC